GAGGGUAUAACUCAGUGGUAGAGUGCAUGCUUAGCAUGCACAAGGUCCUGGGUUCUAUCCCCAGUACCUUCA
rnacentral:tRNA from 1 species